ensembl:lncRNA
UAAUAAUAAUAAUGAUAAGAAUGAUAAUAAUAAUAAUAUCCCCAAAGUUUGAUUCUGUUCAUCUGGAUGCAGCGUUUUCAGUGGGAGAAACGUUUCGUCACUCAUCCAAGCGACUUCUUCAGUCUCAGCUGACUGUAGGUUUCCCCAAUCUUAUAAACAGUACAUUUGCAUAAUAACUGAAACCAGCCCACUGAAGGAACAAUGGCCCGGGAGAUCAGUUCCUUGAUCAUUAAUAUGCAAAUUCGCAUGACCAUUGAUUAACAACCACUGAUCAAAGUUCAUUGAUCAAAGCCCACUGAUCAAUGGCCAUGAGUACUAUUCACAGAGAGUUGGGGAAUGGCUGCAAUCACAGCAUUGUAAGAUGGCGAAAGAUGUACCCUUAGGCCCCCUCCUCGAUUCAAAGAUGGUCUUUCCCUUUUGACUUAAAUGGCCUCCUCUACUCCUCGCUCAAACUAGCGUUCCUCCCUGUCCAGAAUGUGUACAUCCUCAUCCUUGAAAGAGUGUCCACUGGCCUGUAGGUUUAAAUAUACUGUGGAGUCCUGGCCUGACGAGGUGAAAAAAUAAUAAUAAUUAAAUAAUAAUAAAUAAUAAUAAUUAUAAAAGGAAAAUGAUAAAACAGAUAAAUCCACUCACAACAAUUCUUGUUUUUAUCCUUAGAGCCUCAGUGUGUCAAAGCCCUUCCAGUGGCUACACCUGCUUGACUUCCACCACUACCAACAAAGAUGGCACGGAGCCACACCGGUAGAUCCUUCUACUGACUGAUAAUUGACCACAGGGAGUUUUACAUCAACAAGCUGAUUUAUGAGAAACCUCCCUGACCUUCCUUCGCCUUUUGUACCAUAGCCCAGCACACCCAACAGCGAUGUGGAGACCCUUCAGCUGUCCCUCAUAUGGUUGAAGUGGAGGGCUCCAAUUGACUCCAUGCAAAAAAAAAAAAAGGAUGAUGAGUCUCUUCAAAAAUGUUAUAUUCAACUGAGUUCAGUGUUCACUACAGACGUUACGACUGACCGCCCUGUAGACCUGAGCAAUGAGAUUACUACCUCAGAAACCCACGUGAGAAACAGUUUUUUCAUAAUCUCUGAGGGGAGAUGGCCUCAGAGAUUAGUUGUAUUUCUUGGAAAGAGGCCAACUAGAGGAGGUCAGGCAUGAUGUUGUUCAUGUUAAGAUCAACCUCAAAGUCUAGCAGAAGGAAAAGGAGAAAAUGAAAAUGAAAAAAAAAACCUCCAAAUGGCAGCCCUAACCAAGCGUCAAGCUCCUGGCUGGAGAAGAAAACAGAAUGAUUUGACCCAAACAUCUGAGCUAAGGACUGCUCCAACACAGACAACACUGUUGAUUACAAGGAUGGCAAAACUGGGGGGAGGCACAGGACAAACUCGAACUUACUCUGCCUCAGGUGACUCCUUAAGUUGAUAGCACCACACCCACAGCACACACAGAUGAUAGCAUAUAGCCUAUGUUCACACUUAUAAGCUAUUCCCUACCUUAAAGACAAAUUCGGUCUCUCUAACUCCUCCACAGCUCCGUUUUCACUCUGUCCG